CAGUAGCCGGCUUGAGAGAGUGGACGGCCACAUUGGGACUGAGACACGGCCCAGACUCCUGCGGGAGGCAGCAGUGGGGAAUAUUGCACAAUGGGGGGAACCCUGAUGCAGCAAUGCCGCGUGGGUGAAGAAGCACUCCGGUGCGUAAAGCCCUGUCAGCAGGGAAGAAAAUGACAGUACCUGACCAAGAAGCCCCGGCUAACUACGUGCCAGCAGCCGCGGUAAUACGUAGGGGGCAAGCGUUAUCCGGAUUUACUGGGUGUAAAGGGAGCGCAGGCGGUAUGGCAAGUCAGAUGUGAAAACCCAGGGCUCAACCCUGGGACUGCAUUUGAAACUGCCAUACUGGAGUGCCGGAGAGGUAAGUGGAAUUCCUAGUGUAGCGGUGAAAUGCGUAGAUAUUAGGAGGAACACCAGUGGCGAAGGCGGCUUACUGGACGGUAACUGACGCUGAGGCUCGAAAGCGUGGGGAGCAAACAGGAUUAGAUACCCUGGUAGUC
rnacentral:rRNA from 1 species